CGUAUUAAAGAGACUCAGGAUUCCAAACAAGGCCACCAUAAAAAAGUGAUAUCACAGAUGUCCUUAAACAGAAGUCCAGUCUUGCUGGACUUCUGUCUGUCUUUUAUGGAAUCCACAAAAUUAGCUUUAGAAAAUAUGGAAGGUAGAGAAACCAGUGUUUCAGGAAUGUGUUGUCAUGUGUUGUCUGCAAUAGGAUUUUAGUGUCAGCGCAAGUGUCAACGUGGUCGGGAAUAAACUGGUGGGAGCGGUCACCUUAAACCGGUUGGACAUGUCCCUGGGGAAAAGCUACGUUGGGGACUUCAAGGUCGGAUCCCUUAGCAACAUCUUCCAAAUAGUCCUCAAGUGGGUGGUGUUACCCACAGUUAACGUGCGACUAAAGGAGGGCUUCCCUCUACCCAGCCUGGGGAAAAUCAACCUGAAAAACGCCCAGCUGCAAAUCCUGAAGGGCUACAUACUGAUCGGGACAGACCUCCAGAUUUCCGGAUGACGGUUCCUGAAAACCAACAGAUCACUCCAGACAUCUGUCCGAGAACAAGGCAGAAAUUAAACCUUGAAUUCACAUUUUGUUCUGGGAUCAAUAAGCAUUACAUUAUAAGUUUGUAAUCACUUUCUUUGAUAUGCUUUCAGGGCUUGUUUCAAUUAUGACACAUAUUUGUAGUUUCCUAUGUUUUUUAAUGCACACAUCCAGGUAUUAACACCAACAAAAGUAUUUUUCCUUUAAAUGUAUGAAUGCUUCAAUAAGUUACAUUAAAUACAUUUACUUUCAACAAUACAUUUUGUCAUAAAUGGCUACAUCUUGUGUGUGUGGAUAUUAGACAAGGGUUCUAGAAGCUUCUGUGUCGAGCUGGCCAAUCAGUUCAUCCUGUUGUACUGGGUUGUCACUUAGAGAACUGAGGCUCAGAGCACGCCCCGCAGACUCUGGGAGUUUGCCGACGUUAUCUAGAGAGGGCAAAGCAAAAAAGAUAAAACACUAGCAAUUACAAACAAGUGCCAUCUAAUUAUAACCUACAUUAACAGUAAAAAGAGACAUUCAAUAGUUACGUACAGUCUCAAAUAAAAAAAUGUCAAGAAGAGAAUAUCAAGCAUGUUACAGUUCUACUGCAAUGAACCCGAGAGCGAAGCAUACCUUCACUAGUACAUAGUCUCCAGCUUUGGCCUCGGCCAUACCAGAGUCCAGAGAACUGUCCCUCCCCUCCCUGGGGAAAAUCACCUUCACGUUCCCGUCGCUCCUGCCACACAAGUCCUGGGCCGAUCUCUUACUAGCCUGAACAAAGAUACAAACAUCGGCUAACACCAGAUGUCGGCAUGAAUAUGGCAGAUAAUAACUUGUUUUAAGGUGGCAUUUCAUAAAGAAAUAGACAUCACUGUGCCAUGUGGCUGUGUUUCUAUCCACCGUCUAACGUCAUGACACAAUGGCGUCCAUCGACACCCUUAUGACCGCCGGGCCUACAUGUGAUGGUUAGGCGGGCUGCGGCUGCAGUACUCACCCCCUCCACCAGGACGAGCUGUGUGGUGCCCACCAGGGCGCUGUUGACCUUUGCCGCCUCUUCCCUGAAGGCGGAGAUGAGCUCCUCCAGCCGGCGCUGCUUCACCUCACUGGGGACGUCGUCCUGGAGGGCGUGGGAGGCGUGUGUUUUCUGGAGACGGACGCAGUGAUAAGAUCCUUUAGCAGGAUUU